GCUGGCGGCGUUGCUUAACACAUGUCAAGUCGAACGGAAACAGAAAGAAGCUUGCUUCUUUGCUGUCGAGUGGCGCACGGGUGAGUAAUGUAUAGUUAACCUGCCCCUUAGAGAGGGAUAGCCACUGGAAACGGUGAUUAAUACCUCAUACUCCUAUAUGCGUAAGGUAUAUAGGGAAAUGUCUUUUCGCUAAGGGAUGAGACUAUAUGGCAUCAGGUAGUUGGUGGGGUAAUGGCCCACCAAGCCAAUGACGCCUAGCUGGUCUGAGAGGAUGAUCAGCCACACUGGUACUGAGACACGGACCAGACUCCUACGGGAGGCAGCAGUGGGGAAUAUUGCACAAUGGAGGAAACUCUGAUGCAGCAACGCCGCGUGGAGGAUGACGCAUUUCGGUGUGUAAACUCCUUUUAUAUGGGAAGAUAAUGACGGUACCAUAUGAAUAAGCACCGGCUAACUCCGUGCCAGCAGCCGCGGUAAUACGGAGGGUGCAAGCGUUACUCGGAAUCACUGGGCGUAAAGCGCGCGCAGGCGGCUCGAUAAGUUGGAUGUGAAAUCCUAUGGCUUAACCAUAGAACUGCAUCCAAAACUGUCAAGCUAGAGUCUGGGAGAGGAAGAUGGAAUUAGUUGUGUAGGGGUAAAAUCCGUAGAGAUAACUAGGAAUACCAAAAGCGAAGGCGAUCUUCUGGAACAGUACUGACGCUGAGGCGCGAAAGCGUGGGGAGCAAACAGGAUUAGAUACCCUGGUAGUCCACGCCCUAAACGAUGAAUGUUAGUCGUUGGAGCUCUAGUAGCUUCAGUGAUGCAGCUAACGCAUUAAACAUUCCGCCUGGGGAGUACGGUCGCAAGAUUAAAACUCAAAGGAAUAGACGGGGACCCGCACAAGUGGUGGAGCAUGUGGUUUAAUUCGAAGAUACGCGAAGAACCUUACCUAGCCUUGACAUAUAUUAGAACACUUUAGAAGAUAGAGUGGUGCCUUCGGGAGCUUUUAUACAGGUGCUGCACGGCUGUCGUCAGCUCGUGUCGUGAGAUGUUGGGUUAAGUCCCGCAACGAGCGCAACCUCGUCACUAGUUACUAACGGUUCGGC
rnacentral:rRNA from 1 species